AGAGUUUUGGAUUUGAUUUGCGUCAUCUGGAUUUGAUUUCCGACAGUUGGGUGAUCGGGUAGCCGAAACAGAGAUCCGACAACUGUAUAUUUAACAGCUGAUCACCACAGUCGCUACUAUUCCAUAAACCGUAUUCCAAAAACAUCCAUUCAUCUCUCAGUAACGAAUCACCUCCUUCAACAGAGUCACCACGUUCAAAGGAUGACAUGCAGUUACAAACUGAGAGAUGGAAUAUGUCCUGGACAAAAAAACCGUCCUCCAGGAGAGCUCAUAGUGAAGGAGGGCGAUAUCUGCUCAACCUGUGAAGAUCUUUAGAUCCUGAAUAUGACACAAUGGAUGGAAUCCUCCGAGAAAAUGUCUACAUUGAUGACCUUUAUGUUAUGACCACCUGGAAGGAUCUCCAAGUUGACCUACUGCGCUCCUUGCUGGAAACCUUCAGGUCAGAGGUCAUGCUGAUGUUUCCACUUAGAGCAGACAGACAGGUCCAGCUGAUCUCUACCUGCUUUGUGUGAGUGUCCUCGGUCUUUCUCACUCUGUGUUUUAAUAGGAUAGAGAAGAAAAGGAGAGGUUGAUGUGUCGUGUUUUGUGGAUGAUGAUGAUAACGUCUCUAUUCAGACAAUAUUUAUAGCUGAGAAACAGAAGCUCUUUCUGGACUCACUUCACCCUGAUGGUUUUGGUGAUGAUCUCUACAGAACAAUAUUUAGGUUGAUGCUACAGAAAUGAAAAGUUGCUCUGACCUUGUUCAAGGACAAGUGUGUUCUUUGGAUAGACUGUCUAACAGCAGCCUGUUAGGUUCUCAGGCUGAAAGGUUCAACAUGGAGCCUCAGAUUUAAAGUACCAGGAGAAUCUUUGACCCUGUCUGGAGAACUGGAGGAGACCUUCAGUUCUUUUCUCAGCAGAUGUCAGACAGCUGCUGCAGCAUUUCAUGCUGAUGUCUCCCCGGUGCUUACAGCUUUGGAGGGUCUCUGGUGUUCCAGCAGGAGUCGGUGCUCACCUCAUCAUCUCAGCUGUUCAGCAUUAAGCUCUGCAGCUUCCAGUGUUCAUCGACAGAUCGUUGUCUACCUUUAGAAUCCUUCAACCACGAGAACCAACAACCAACCAUCUCUGGACCUCUCUGCUCAGCUGCCUCACAGCCACAGACUCGGUUCUACCUGCUCACCGUGUCCUCCAGCUCCAGAAGGACAAAGGAACGCCGCUCACCUCCCAAUGUCUUAGACACCAUCUGCAAACCCCGGUGCAGCCUCUCCUCUCUUGGUUCUCCAUCUCUCCCAACCCCCCCUGCCAGCACGCUGACUCCAGAUUCAUCCCCAUCUCUAAAUAAAUCACUUCCUCACACACAGACAUGUUUCCAGCACUUGGGUCCUUCUGGCCUCGUGAAACCAUGACAACGACUUCAACAUGGACGGAGAUUCAGUUUCUGGACAGAAGAGGCAUUGCUGCUUCUGCAGGAACUCUGCAGCUGAUCUUCAGGUUCCAGAGACGACCACCUCCACACCUGAAGUCCAAUCAGACAGGAAGUGUCGGCAACAGGAAGAGAGGAGCAGUGAAGACAUUUGAUUCAGAGGAGACCCCCCCCCCCUACUACUGCUGUUACUGUUGUCUAAAUAAACUGUUAAUAAUUUA